AUUGAACGCUGGCGGCAGGCCUAACACAUGCAAGUCGAGCGGGUGAAGGGAGCUUGCUCCUGGAUUCAGCGGCGGACGGGUGAGUAAUGCCUAGGAAUCUGCCUGGUAGUGGGGGAUAACGUCCGGAAACGGGCGCUAAUACCGCAUACGUCCUGAGGGAGAAAGUGGGGGAUCUUCGGACCUCACGCUAUCAGAUGAGCCUAGGUCGGAUUAGCUAGUUGGUGGGGUAAAGGCCUACCAAGGCGACGAUCCGUAACUGGUCUGAGAGGAUGAUCAGUCACACUGGAACUGAGACACGGGCCAGACUCCUACGGGAGGCAGCAGUGGGGAAUAUUGGACAAUGGGCGAAAGCCUGAUCCAGCCAUGCCGCGUGUGUGAAGAAGGUCUUCGGAUUGUAAAGCACUUUAAGUUGGGAGGAAGGGCAGUAAGUUAAUACCUUGCUGUUUUGACGUUACCAACAGAAUAAGCACCGGCUAACUUCGUG
rnacentral:rRNA from 1 species